rnacentral:lncRNA from 1 species
CGCCCCCCCCCCCCCCCCCCCCGGGGAGGACUGCCCGAGCCGGCCGCCCGCACCCUGACCCCGGGCCGGCGGCCUUGACCUCACUGCCCACCUGCGCGACCCACCGGCCUUCCUCCCACCUGGCUGCCUUCUCCCCACUCGGGGCCACUCGACACUCGUCCCCUCGUCCCGGCGCCGACCUCCCUGAAAUACAGUCGUUUCACCACCGCUCCUUGCCUGCGGGUGCCGCCCGCAGCCAGUGCCCGAGCCUGGCCUGUGGGACUCGGGGGCGCCAGGGAAAUCCGCUGAGGUGCCCCACGCCCAGGGGCUGGGGGGCCUGCCGGCCUCUCCUCUGGGGGGGCUCGAGGUGUACACGCGAGCUGCAGCCUCGCCCCCACAGAAAGCAGCAGGGCCAGGCCGCGGAAAGCACAUGGAACGGUUAGGGGCUGGCGCCGUUGCGCUCUGUCCGACCUCACCCGACCUCACCCGCGAGCCUGGAACAGCAGGCGGCCUCUGUGCUUCCUCCUUGGGACCCACUUUCCCACUUUGAACAUAGUCCCCACGCGCCUGCCUCCUGUCAGCGUUGGUCGUGGGGCCCCGGCUGGAGAGCAGCUGCGGCGCCGAGACACACAGGAGGCGAACAAGGGCCCGGUGCACGCAGGCCUCCUGGGCCCUUCUGUGGCUAAAACCCUGGAAGUCCCAGCAAGCCUGAGCAGGGGACAAGCAGUGAGCCACCUGUCACCAGAGAUGCCAGAUUUUAUUUUUCUAUUCAUGAGAG